rnacentral:rRNA from 1 species
UACAGAGGAUGCAAGCGUUAUCCGGAAUGAUUGGGCGUAAAGCGUCUGUAGGUGGCUUUUUAAGUCCGCCGUCAAAUCCCAGGGCUCAACUCUGGACAGGCGGUGGAAACUACCAAGCUGGAGUACGGUAGGGGCAGAGGGAAUUUCCGGUGUAGCGGUGGAAUGCGUAGAGAUCGGGAAGAACAUCAGUGGCGAAGGCGGUCUGCUGGGCCGUUGCUGACGCUGAGGCGCGACAGCGUGGGGAGCAAACAGG